GAGAAUAUAGCCCAAUAGUAGAGUACAUGCCUAGCAUACAUAAGAUCCUGGGUUCCAUCCCCAGUAUUUCCA
rnacentral:tRNA from 1 species